UACGUAGGGGGGCAAGCGUUGUCCGGAAUCAUUGGGCGUAAAGCGCGUGUAGGCGGCCUUGUAAGUCCGUUCUGAAAGUCCGGGGCUCAACCCCGGGAGGCGGAUGGAUACUGCAAGGCUCGAGUACGGAAGAGGCGAGUGGAAUUCCCGGUGUAGCGGUGAAAUGCGCAGAUAUCGGGAGGAACACCAAUGGCGAAGGCAGCUCGCUGGGACGUUACUGACGCUGAGACGCGAAAGCGUGGGGGAGCAAACAGGG
rnacentral:rRNA from 1 species